rnacentral:tRNA from 5 species
GGGUCGUUAGCUCAGCUGGUAGAGCAGCGGACUUUUAAUCCGUUGGUCGCAGGUUCGAAUCCUGCACGGCCUACCA